GCUGGGUGUGGUGGUGCAUGCCUGUAAUCCCAGUGGCUCAGGAGGCUGAAGCAGGAGGAUCACAAGUUCAAAGCCAGCCUCAGCAAUUUAGCAAGACCAUAAGCAACUUAGGAAGACCCUGUCUUUA
rnacentral:sRNA from 1 species